GCUCAGAUAGCUCAGUGGUAGAGCAUUUGGUCCCCCUCGAGCCAAAAAAAUAUUUCUCAAACAAAAGGUCCCCACUUCAAACCUGGGUCUGAGCA
rnacentral:tRNA from 1 species